rnacentral:rRNA from 1 species
UGGGGAAUAUUGUACAAUGGGGGCAACCCUGAUCCAGCCAUGCCGCGUGGGUGAAGAAGGCCUUAGGGUUGUAAACCCCUUUCACCGGGGAGGAUGAUGACGUUACCCGGAGAAGAAGCACCGGCUAACUCCGUGCCAGCAGCCGCGGUAAGACGGAGGGUGCUAGCGUUGUUCGGAAUCACUGGGCGUAAAGGGCGCGUAGGCGGCUUCAUUAGUCAGAUGUGAAAGCCCGGGGCUCAACUCCGGAACUGCAUUUGAUAGUGUGGAGCUUGAGGUCGAGAGAGGAGAGUGGAAUACCCAGUGUAGAGGUGAAAUUCGUAGAUAUUGGGUGGAACACCAGUGGCGAAAGCGGCUCUCUGGCGCGAUUCUGACGCUGAGGCGCGAAAGCGUGGGGAGCAAACAGGAUUAGAUACCCCCGUAGUCC